ACCUACUGUUUAAUUUUGAGGGUUCGUUUUUACGAAUACUCAAAACUAGCACUUUAAGCAACGGGAUUUAUCCGUUGGCGCCGUGCUUUAGCACUUUGAAAACUGCAUAUAUAUAUUUAGUGAUAUGACAUCUAAUUUGUAAUAUAUAAAGCUGAUAACUUUUAAAAUUAUCGAAGUUGAUAGCUUCUAAUCUAUCAAACCUUUUUAACUGGUCAA
rnacentral:misc_RNA from 1 species